AUAUUUGACAGAAAAGAAAUCACACUACAAAGAAAGUGUAGUAUCUGUUCUUAUCAGUGUAAAAUCAAAUAUGUCCCUUAUCUGGGGACCAUAUAUUAAAUUGAUUUUUGGAACAGGGAGAUGGAAUAGGGGCUUACUCCGUCCACUCCACGCAUCAACCUGUUAUUGCAGUAUUUCCAGGAACGAUGCACUCUCC